GUAGGUGGCAAGCGUUGUCCCGGAAUUAUUGGGGCGUAAAGCGCGCGCAGGCGGUUCUUUAAGUCUGAUGUGAAAGCCCACGGGCUCAACCGUGAGGGUCAUUGGAAACUGGAGAACUUGAGUACAGAAGAGGAAAGCGGAAUUCCACGUGUAGCGGUGAAAUGCGUAGAGAUGUGGCGGAACACCAGUGGCGAAGGCGGCUUUCUGGUCUGUAACUGACGCUGAGGCGCGAAAGCGUGGGGAGCAAACAGGAUUAGAUACCCUGGUAGUCCACGCCGUAAACGAUGAGUGCUAAGUGUUAGGGGGUUUCCGCCCCUUAGUGCUGCAGCUAACGCAUUAAGCACUCCGCCUGGGGAGUACGGCCGCAAGGCUG
rnacentral:rRNA from 1 species